rnacentral:rRNA from 1 species
UCUGGGCGUAAGCGCGCGUANGCGGCUUGUUACACCCAUGUGAAAUCCCUGGGCUCAACCUAGGAAUUGCGUUUGAUACUGUCAGGCUAGAGUGCGGUAGAGGGUGGUGGAAUUCCCGGUGUAGCAGUGAAAUGCGUAGAUAUCAGGAGGAACACCGAUGGCGAAGGCAGCCCCCUGGAUCUGUACUGACGCUCAUGCGCGAAAGCGUGGGGAGCAAACCGGAUUAGAUACCCUGGUAGUCCACGCCCUAAACGAUGGGUACUAGGCGUCUGGUGUUUCUUGGCGCUGAAUGCCAAACCUAACGCGUGACGUCCCCCGCCUGGGGACUACGGGCUC